GGUCUUUCAAGUCCGAUGCUAAAGACUGGGGCUCAACCCCAGGGGUGCGUUGGAUACUGUGAGGCUAGACGGUCGGAGGGGGUAGCGGAAUUUCCGGAGUAGCGGUGAAAUGCGCAGAUACCGGAAGGAACGCCAAUAGCGAAGGCAGCUACCUGGACGACUUGUGACGCUGAGGCGCGAAAGCGUGGGGAGCAAACCGGAUUAGAUACCCGGGUAGUCCACGCCCUAAACCAUGAGUGCUGGGUGUCCGGCUUCUGCUGGGUGCCGUAGCUAACGCGCUAAGCACUCCGCCUGGGAAGUACGCACGCAAGUGUGAAACUCAAAGGAAUUGACGGGGGCCCGCACAAGCGGUGGAGCAUGUGGUUUAAUUCGAAGCGACGCGAAGAACCUUACCAGGCCUUGACAUGCCCGGAACCCCUCUGAAAGGAGGGGGUGCCCGCAAGGGAGCCGGGACACAGGUGCUGCAUGGCCGUCGUCAGCUCGUGUCGUGAGAUGUUGGGUUAAGUCCCGCAACGAGCGCAACCCCUAUCCCUAGUUGCCAGCAGUUCGGCUGGGCACUCUAUGGAGACUGCCUGCGAAAGCAGGAGGAAGGCGGGGAUGACGUCUGGUCCGCAUGGCCCUUACGGCCUGGGCGACACACGUGCUACAAUGCCAAGGACAGAGCGCUGCUACCUCGCGAGAGGACGCCAAUCGCAAAAACCUUGGCUCAGUUCGGAUUGGAGUCUGCAACUCGACUC
rnacentral:rRNA from 1 species